UACGUAGGUGGCAAGCGUUGUCCGGAUUUACUGGGCGUAAAGAGCGCGCAGGCGGUCGUUCGCAAGUCGCGUGUGAAAGCCCCCCGGCUCAAACUGGGGGAGGGUCACGCGAUACUGCUCGACUUGAAGGCAGGAGAGGGAAGUGGAAUUCCCGGUGUAGUGGUGAAAUGCGUAGAUAUCGGGAGGAACACCAGUGGCGAAGGCGGGUCUCUGGGCCGAUACUGACGCUGAGGAGCGAAAGCGUGGGGAGCGAACAGG
rnacentral:rRNA from 1 species